UACAGAGGUCUCAAGCGUUGUUCGGAUUCAUUGGGCGUAAAGGGUGCGUAGGCGGGUCUUUUAAGUCAGGGGUGAAAUCCUGGAGCUCAACUCCAGAACUGCCUUUGAUACUGAGGAUCUUGAGUACGGGAGAGGUGAGUGGAACUGCGAGUGUAGAGGUGAAAUUCGUAGAUAUUCGCAAGAACGCCAGUGGCGAAGGCGGCUCACUGGCCCGUUACUGACGCUGAGGCACGAAAGCGUGGGGAGCAAACAGGG
rnacentral:rRNA from 1 species